rnacentral:lncRNA from 1 species
UCUUUUAUUUUUUUAUUUUUAUUUUAAAGAUAUGCAUGUGUCACUAUCUAUGAAAUACUUUAAGUUUAAUUGCAAGUCUUUUUUUUGGCUGUAACACAAGACUUUUGAGAACUUAGACCAAAGUCUCAUGAUGUUAUUGUUGUGGUCCUUUUCAACAACCUUGUUUGUCUCAAUAACUAAUGAUGUUAGGACCAUGUUGGUAGGACAAUUGGAACUUGAGCAUAGUUAUUGGGCAUUUCUACCACAACUUAGGAGGUAUAAGACUUUUGGUUUCCCCAUUGGGCAAUAAAAAAAAAACUUGCUACAAGACUCUUAUAUUAGAACACCACGAGAACCA